rnacentral:piRNA from 1 species
UGAGUCAUGAUCCUGACCGGUGA